rnacentral:rRNA from 1 species
GUAACGCGUGAGGAACCUGCCUCAAANAGGGGGGCAACAGUUGGAACGACUGCUAAUACCGCAUAAGCCCACGGGUCGGCAUCGACCAGAGGGAAAAGGAGCAAUCCGCUUUGAGAUGGCCUCGCGUCCGAUUAGCUAGUUGGUGAGGUAAUGGCCCACCAAGGCGACGAUCGGUAGCCGGACUGAGAGGUUGAACGGCCACCAUUGGGACUGAGACACGGCCCAGACUCCUACGGGAGGCAGCAUG